UCAAAAACUCAUUACGAGUCUUCGAAUAACUCCUUUAUAUGUAUUAGGUAUAUUGACAUUCUGUAAAUAGUUUCAAAUUUACUGUCGAGCGAUAUCUGAAUAAACUUGAAAAACGUAUUGUGAAAGUCAAAAUUUUAAGGAGAAAUGAAAUGACGAUGACAUAACAACUAAUCUGCAGCUGAACAGUUGUGAAAUACAAUAAAAAAUGUAAAUUGUUGGAGCCAAUAGUCGCCAAUAGGUAUACACUGAAGAAAUAUAUGUCUUGCAGAAUGUUUUAUUAAAUAAGUUUCUGUAAUA